CCUACGGGAGGCAGCAGUGAGGAAUAUUGGUCAAUGGACGAGAGUCUGAACCAGCCAAGUAGCGUGAAGGAUGACUGCCCUAUGGGUUGUAAACUUCUUUUAUAUGGGAAUAAAAUGUUCCACGUGUGGGAUUUUGUAUGUACCAUAUGAAUAAGGAUCGGCUAACUCCGUGCCAGCAGCCGCGGUAAUACGGAGGAUCCGAGCGUUAUCCGGGUUUAUUGGGUUUAAAGGGAGCGUAGGUGGGUGGUUAAGUCAGGUGUGAAAGGUUGCGGCGCAACCGUAAAAUUGCAGUUGAAACUGGCAGUCUUGAGUACAGUAGAGGUGGGCGGAAUUCGUGGUGUAGCGGUGAAAUGCUUAGAUAUCACGAAGAACUCCGAUUGCGAAGGCAGCUCACUGGACUGCAACUGACACUGAGGCUCGAAAGUGUGGGUAUCAAACAGGAUUAGAUACCCCAGUAGUC
rnacentral:rRNA from 1 species